AACGAACGCUGGCGGCAUGCCUAACACAUGCAAGUCGAACGAGACCUUCGGGUCUAGUGGCGCACGGGUGCGUAACGCGGGGGAAUCUGCCCUUGGGUUCGGAAUAACAGUUGGAGACGUCUGCUAAUACAGGUUGGUGACGUAAGUCCAAAGAUUUAUCGCCCAGGGGUGAGCCCGGGUAGGAUUAGUUGGUUGGUGGGGUACAGGCCUACCAAGGAGACGAUCCUUAGCUGGUCUGUGAGGAUGGUCAGCCACACUGGGACUGAGACACGGGCCAGACUCCUACGGGAGGCAGCAGUGGGGAGUAUUGGACAAUGGGCGAAAGCCUAAUCCAGCAAUGCCGCGUGAGUGAUGAAGGCCUUAGGGUUGUAAAGCUCUUUUACCCGGGAUGAUAAUGACAGUACCGGGAGAAUAAGCCCCGGCUAACUCCGUG
rnacentral:rRNA from 1 species